rnacentral:miRNA from 1 species
AAGGAAUAUGAAUCCCAUGGGU